rnacentral:tRNA from 1 species
GCACUUGUAGCUCAGCGGAUAGAGCAUAGGAUUCCGGAUCCUAAGGUCGGUGGUUCGAAUCCACCCGAGUGCG